rnacentral:rRNA from 1 species
GCUACGGCCAUACCAGCCUGGGUACGCCCGAUCUUGUCUGAUCUCGGAAGCUAAGCAGGGUCGGGCCUGGUUAGUACUUGGAUGGGAGACAGCCUGGGAAUACCAGGUGCUGUAAGCA